GUAUGCGAUCAUACAAGCACUAAACCAUCGGAUCCCAUCAGAACUCCAAAGUUAAGCGUGCUUGGGCGAGAGUUGUACUAGGAUGGGUGACCUCCUGGGAAGUCCUCGUGUUGCAUUCC
rnacentral:rRNA from 1 species